rnacentral:rRNA from 1 species
UUGAGAGUUUGAUCCUGGCUCAGGAUGAACGCUGGCGGCGUGUCUAAGGCAUGCAAGUCGAACGAGUACGGCCCGCAAGGGUCGUGCUAGUGGCAAACGGGUGAGUAACACAUUGGUAACCUGCCUCAAAGUGUGGAACAACCCUCCGAAAGGAGAGCUAAUACCACAUGUGGUCCCCCACCUACCUUGACAUUAACCUCAAUUUGAUUUUUCAUUCUAAUUGGAAAAUUAUUUUUUGUAACGAAGGUUGAUGACAAAGUAGGUGGGGGAAGAAAGGUCCGUAAGGAUCGCUUUGAGAGGGGCCUAUGGCUUAUCAGCUAGUUGGUGAGGUAAUGGCUCACCAAGGCUAUGACGAGUAGCGGGUGUGAGAGCAUGACCCGCCUCACAGGGACUGAGACACUGCCCUGACUCCUACGGGAGGCUGCAGUCAAGAAUCUUUCACAAUGCGCGAAAGCGUGAUGGAGCAAUGCCGCGUACGGGAUGAAGCCCUUCGGGGUGUAAACCGUUUUUAUUGGGGACAAAUUUUGAUGGUACCCAAAGAA